rnacentral:snoRNA from 1 species
GAGCAAGUCUCCAGCAUGUUUGGAUCUUCUGUGACCCUGUACGUUUCUACAGUGCUUGUCAGAACAGUUCUAAAACAGUUUGAGGCUUUGUCCUGCUCCAUCCAGGGCAAAGUUAUAGACAUUUCAUACAACU